rnacentral:rRNA from 1 species
CAGUAGCCACGGUAAUACGGAGGAUCCGAGCGUUAUCCGGAAUUAUUGGGUUUAAAGGGUGCGUAGGCAGAUAGAUAAGUCAGUGGUGAAAGACGGUGGCUCAACCAUCGCAGUGCCGUUGAUACUGUUUAUCUUGAAUAUGGAUGAGGUAGGCGGAAUGUGGCAAGUAGCGGUGAAAUGCAUAGAUAUGCCACAGAACACCGAUUGCGAAGGCAGCUUACCAAGGCAAAAUUGACGCUGAGGCACGAAAGCGUGGGGAUCGAACAGGAUUAGAUACCCCAGUAGUCCCUGUCUCUUAUAC